AAAAUGGAGGUUUGAAAAAAUCAAACAUUUGGCCAAUUACUUCUCAUUUUUGUGGAAGAAUAGAAUCUGCAAUAAUCUUAUGUCAUGAACUGUUAAAAGUUGUUUAAACUAAGCACAAAAAGCAAACUGAUCCCUUAUUCUGGUGCUGUAGAUCUAAGAACUAGCAGCAGAAAAGGGAUAGAAAACAAACGUACACACACAAACCAAAUUUGCAACCUCCACAGUCCUUCUGCCAGCAAGCUUCCUUGCACCUCUGAGAAAGAGGGGGGAUGAGAAAAAUGUUUAACCUCUGACUACUUGCAAUAUUGAUUUUUGUUUGCUUUGCCACGACAAUGCUCCCAUUUGUCAGUGUCGGACUGGACAUCUGCACUGACGACCUGUGGAAGAGAUCUACCUGGUUCUGGCAGGCAAAGUGGAGCCAAAUAUAAAAAUUCUUCCUCCAGAGAAGAUGAAAGAUGAAAUGUUAUGUCAGAGUGCACAGACACCCCCAGCAAGAUCAGCCGCUAUUCAACUGAUAGAUCUGCCACUCAUCCACAUCUGAUAUCGCCACUUGCAUGCCCCAGCUUCUGAGGACUGAGCUAAUCUGCCUCUUGGCAAUGAAAGACAGCUGGCCAGAGGAGUGACCGAGAACUUGAGUGCAUCAAAGGCUCUAUAAGAAAUGGCCUAUUAUCAAACCAUGGCCUUGACAAACAAGAUCUUCUGUACCCAUGGAUACACAGUUUUAAUUUUAAAACUGGGAAGAGCUAUGUAUUUUUUUUUACUUUCUUCUUGAAAACUGUUGGUCUUUCUUUGCUUUACCUCUAAAAAUUUAGCCCGUCUAGCCUAGAAAAUGUAUUAUAAAUUUAAGUCACUGGUAACAAAAUCAUUGGUUGUUAGAAGCAGGAUCUCACUAAAGUGCUGUAAACAAACUUUACUAUUAAGGUAGCAAAGAACUUAAAAAUGGACUUACCACUUUAUGGAAACUCCCACCACUCACUGUGAAAUAUUGCACCUAAGUGUAAUUGCAGUAGAACUUAACAUGCAUUUUCAUGCAAUUAUAGUGCAGAUUUGAAUAAAGUGAUAUUACAGUUCAGAUACAUACACACAUACACACCCUUUUUUCCCACUUAUUUUAGCAAUUACUUUAAAUGCUAUCUGUAGUCACCAACAUAAAAAGCUCAGUCACAGUGGCAUACAGUAGCAGUGCAGGCAAAGUGCAAAGUUGUUUAUUAGCAAGUGAGAUCAUUUUCAUUAGAAGUUAAAUAAUAGUAAAUGAAAGACUUCACAUCUUAUAUCUCCUCCUAUUCCACAAAAAGCUAUGAUGCCUUAAUUACUGCUUAAACAUAUACUUAAUUUCCCUAAUUGUAUUAAAUUAUAUUCUUCAUGUUGAUGAGGCAUAAAGCAUUAAAAAUGAGCUGCCCUUGUCUUUCUACCUCACACAUUAAUGGAGCAGUUCAGCACUAUAAGACUAUUACACUCAAAGCAAACAUAUAUUCAUUCAGAAUAGGCAUCAGGCUAUCAAGCUACCCAAGUAACUUUAGAAAUAAAAUAACAAUACACACAGGAAAAAAAAAGUUUUCACACUUUGUUUUCCAUAAUCUGGUCAGUGCUGCUUGUUCUCUCUGUCUAAUAAAGAACCAAGAGUAUCACAUGUGCAGAGAUCUUAUGUCAUUAAAAUCUUAACACAAAUUCAAAUGUAAACACAUGCACUACAUCAUAUGAAUAUACACUACAAAUAUGAGCAUUUUCAGAUAUUUUUGCUACCAUCUCCCUGACAAAGGCUGAGCUACAUAUUGUUUUAAAUAAAAAUAUUAUAGUGUUUCUUUCUUUUCUUUCUUUCCAUCAGAGUGAAGAAAACCAAAAAUACUGUUUAAAAUCUAUUCCUGCAAUAAAUAUACAUGUAUACUGCAUAAUAAUACUGGAAAAUUUCUUUCAACUUACUGUCAAUGUAUCAGCACAAGAAUAAAGUAAAAGAAAAUAAUCUGUUUUUAAGAGCAACAAGUGUUCAUUUUCACAUCCUUACUUCAAUUCCUGAAAGAGAUGAACUGCACAGUACAAAUCUCACAGAAAAUAUUAGUACAGCAGAACUGGUGCCAUCCAACAGAAGAUCAGAAGCAGUCAGUUAUAUCAAUGCAGAACCCCCUCUUCUCGAUAAGAAUACCUCUCCACUAUCAAUGUUCCCCUCACACUCUCCAGGUCUAGGGAGAAGCAACAUGGCAAACAAUGUAAAAAAUAACAACAGAUCUUACACAU